UACGGGGGGAGCAAGCGUUGUUCGGAUUUACUGGGCGUAAAGGGCGCGUAGGCGGUCGUGACAAGUCACUUGUGAAAUCUCCGGGCUUAACUCGGAACGGUCAAGUGAUACUGUCGGACUAGAGUACAGAAGGGGCAACUGGAAUUCUCGGUGUAGCGGUGAAAUGCGUAGAUAUCGAGAGGAACACCUGCGGCGAAGGCGGCAUCCUGGACCGACACUGACGCUGAGGCGCGAAAGCUAGGGUAGCAAACAGG
rnacentral:rRNA from 1 species